rnacentral:lncRNA from 1 species
AGUCAGGCAGAUAGAGGACCAAAAUUAUGGAAAACUUACCAUAUCGUGGGACAAUUCCAUUUUGCCUUCAUAUUGUGCCCUGAAGGCUAGUAAGUACGUUUCUGUAUGUUGGCCGCGUUAAAAUUUCUUGUGGGCUCCUGCCGACACGUUUUUCUUCGAAUUUUGUAUUAAACUCUAUUACAGUUAAAAAAUGUGAAAUUUCUGAUACAUUUCUAAUACAAAUGACUUGCAUCAAUAGAAAGCUAACAAAAAACUACAUAUAAGACAUUUAAAUGGUUAGUUGGGAUUUUUAAGCGGUUUUCGAGUUAUUGCCGUUUCAAAUGUGAAAAAUAAGCCAAAAUCUCGCAAAAUUCCUGGGUACUAGUCUGAAAACACGCAUUCAACAGCUCAUAACUCAAGAAGAACUUGAAAAACCCGGGUAACCGUUUAAAUGUCUUAUAUGUAGUUUUUUGCAAGCUUUUAAAUGAUGCAAGUCAAAUGUAUUAGA